GCCGCGUGCAGUGAUGAAUGCCUUAUGGGUUGUAAACUGUUUUUGUACGGAAGAAAACCCUUUCACGUGUGAGAGGUUGAUAGGACCGUACGAAUAAGGAUCGGCUAACUUCAUGCCAGCAGCCGCGGU
rnacentral:rRNA from 1 species